UACGUAGGGUGCGAGCGUUAAUCGGAAUUACUGGGCGUAAAGCGUGCGCAGGCGGUUUGUUAAGACAGAUGUGAAAUCCCCGGGCUUAACCUGGGAACUGCAUUUGUGACUGGCAAGCUAGAGUAUGGCAGAGGGGGGUAGAAUUCCACGUGUAGCAGUGAAAUGCGUAGAGAUGUGGAGGAAUACCGAUGGCGAAGGCAGCCCCCUGGGCCAAUACUGACGCU
rnacentral:rRNA from 1 species